GAAAAUUUACACCAAAGAACUUAGAAAAUUUUUGAGAGAAGAGAGUUGGAAGAAUUUCAAUUUUUGCAAAGGGGAUAUUCUGGAAGUUUUCAGAGGACGAGGGGAUUAAGUCUGUAAUAGAGAUAAUGUUGCAGAUGUGGUUGAAAAAGCUUAGAGAUGAGAGAGAUGCGGGGAAAACCUUUCAUGGAUUUUUGUAAAAAGAAUAAACUUGUAUUGGGAAGAUUAUGUUGUGUAAAAUUUAAAAGUUGAAA
rnacentral:sRNA from 1 species